AGAGUUUGAUCCUGGCUCAGGAUGAACGCUGGCGGCGUGCUUAACACAUGCAAGUCGAACGAUCCUCCGGGAUAGUGGCGGACGGGUGAGUAACGCGUGGGAAUCUGCCCUCAGGAGGGGGAUAACGGCUGGAAACGGCCGCUAAUACCCCAUAUGCCGAGAGGUGAAAUGAAUUUCGCCUGAGGAUGAGCCCGCGUCUGAUUAGCUAGUUGGUGGGGUAAUGGCCUACCAAGGCAACGAUCAGUAGCUGGUCUGAGAGGAUGAUCAGCCACACUGGGACUGAGACACGGCCCAGACUCCUACGGGAGGCAGCAGUGGGGAAUUUUCCGCAAUGGGCGAAAGCCUGACGGAGCAACGCCGCGUGAGGGAUGAAGGCCUCUGGGCUGUAAACCUCUUUUCUCAAGGAAGAAGACCUGACGGUACUUGAGGAAUAAGCCACGGCUAAUUCCGUGCCAGCAGCCGCGGUAAUACGGGAGUGGCAAGCGUUAUCCGGAAUUAUUGGGCGUAAAGCGUCCGCAGGCGGCCUAGUAAGUCUGUUGUUAAAGCGUGGAGCUCAACUCCAUUUAAGCAAUGGAAACUACAAGGCUGGAGUGUGGUAGGGGCAGAGGGAAUUCCUGGUGUAGCGGUGAAAUGCGUAGAUAUCGGGAAGAACACCAGUGGCGAAGGCGCUCUGCUGGGCCAUAACUGACGCUCAUGGACGAAAGCCAGGGGAGCGAAAGGGAUUAGAUACCCCUGUAGUCCUGGCCGUAAACGAUGAACACUAGGUGUCGGGGGAAUCGACCCCCUCGGUGUCGUAGCCAACGCGUUAAGUGUUCCGCCUGGGGAGUACGCACGCAAGUGUGAAACUCAAAGGAAUUGACGGGGGCCCGCACAAGCGGUGGAGUAUGUGGUUUAAUUCGAUGCAACGCGAAGAACCUUACCAGGGUUUGACAUCCUGCGAACCCCUGAGAAAUCGGGGGGUGCCUUCGGGAGCGCAGAGACAGGUGGUGCAUGGCUGUCGUCAGCUCGUGUCGUGAGAUGUUGGGUUAAGUCCCGCAACGAGCGCAACCCACGUCUUUAGUUGCCAGCAUUCAGUUGGGCACUCUAGAGAGACCGCCGGUGAUAAACCGGAGGAAGGUGUGGAUGACGUCAAGUCAUCAUGCCCCUUACAUCCUGAGCUACACACGUACUACAAUGCUACGGACAAAGGGCAGCAAGCUCGCGAGAGUUAGCAAAUCCCAUAAACCGUGGCUCAGUUCAGAUCGUAGGCUGCAACUCGCCUACGUGAAGGAGGAAUCGCUAGUAAUCGCAGGUCAGCAUACUGCGGUGAAUACGUUCCCGGGCCUUGUACAC
rnacentral:rRNA from 1 species